rnacentral:rRNA from 1 species
AGUGAACGCUGGCGGUAGGCCUAACACAUGCAAGUCGAACGGCAGCACAGUAAGAGCUUGCUCUUACGGGUGGCGAGUGGCGGACGGGUGAGGAAUACAUCGGAAUCUACUUUUUCGUGGGGGAUAACGUAGGGAAACUUACGCUAAUACCGCAUACGACCUACGGGUGAAAGCAGGGGAUCUUCGGACCUUGCGCGAUUGAAUGAGCCGAUGUCGGAUUAGCUAGUUGGCGGGGUAAAGGCCCACCAAGGCGACGAUCCGUAGCUGGUCUGAGAGGAUGAGCGGCCACACUGGAACUGAGACACGGUCCAGACUCCUACGGGAGGGAGCAGUGUGGAAUAUUGGACAAUGGGCGCAAGCCUGAUCCAGCCAUACCGCGUGGGUGAAGAAGGCCUUCGGGUUGUAAAGCCCUUUUGUUGGGAAAGAAAAGCAGCAGGUUAAUACCCCGCUGUUCUGACGGUACCCAAAGAAUAAGCACCGGCUAACUUCGUG